UGGGUUGUGGCUCAGCGGUAGAGCGCGCAUCUCACAUGUGCAGGACCCUGGGUUCGAUCCUCAGCACCACGU
rfam:Ictidomys tridecemlineatus contig024032, whole genome shotgun sequence.